rnacentral:rRNA from 1 species
UCGAGCGGUAGAGAGAAGCUUGCUUCUCUUGAGAGCGGCGGACGGGUGAGUAAUGCCUAGGAAUCUGCCUGGUAGUGGGGGAUAACGUUCGGAAACGAACGCUAAUACCGCAUACGUCCUACGGGAGAAAGCAGGGGACCUUCGGGCCUUGCGCUAUCAGAUGAGCCUAGGUCGGAUUAGCUAGUUGGUGGGGUAAUGGCUCACCAAGGCGACGAUCCGUAACUGGUCUGAGAGGAUGAUCAGUCACACUGGAACUGAGACACGGUCCAGACUCCUACGGGAGGCAGCAGUGGGGAAUAUUGGACAAUGGGCGAAAGCCUGAUCCAGCCAUGCCGCGUGUGUGAAGAAGGUCUUCGGAUUGUAAAGCACUUUAAGUUGGGAGGAAGGGCCAUUACCUAAUACGUGAUGGUUUUGACGUUACCGACAGAAUAAGCACCGGCUAACUCUGUGCCAGCAGCCGCGGUAAUACAGAGGGUGCAAGCGUUAAUCGGAAUUACUGGGCGUAAAGCGCGCGUAGGUGGUUUGUUAAGUUGGAUGUGAAAUCCCCGGGCUCAACCUGGGAACUGCAUUCAAAACUGACUGACUAGAGUAUGGUAGAGGGUGGUGGAAUUUCCUGUGUAGCGGUGAAAUGCGUAGAUAUAGGAAGGAACACCAGUGGCGAAGGCGACCACCUGGACUGAUACUGACACUGA